UGAGGAACAUGACCUUCGGCGGGGGAUAGCCGGCCCAACGGCCGGGUAAUACCGCGUACGACCUCUCGGGGACAUCCCUGGAUGGUGAAAGCAGCAAUGCGCCGAUGGAGUGCCUCGCGGCCUAUCAGCUAGUUGGUGGGGUAAUGGCUCACCAAGGCGACGACGGGUAGCUGGUCUGAGAGGAUGGCCAGCCACAGUUGGGACUGAGACACGGCCCAGACUCCGUAGGGACGG
rnacentral:rRNA from 1 species